UGUUUAGUGUUUUUUUGGGGGCAUUUUUCGUGAGUCACAAUCACUGCUAAACAUAGAAGCUAUUGCUGCUUAUGUCCGUUGAAAAUCUGAUCACAUGACUUCCUAAUUACCCAGCAGCCCAGCUGUGUCCAGUUAAUUAAUUAAGAAAGCUGAUAAAAGCAGCGAGCAAACUGCUUAGCUGUUCACUUUGCUCUUCACUAUGGCUAAGGCCAUUGGGGGUUUCUUAAGGUUGUUGCUGCUGCUGUUUUUAGCUGCUAAAGGCUGUCAAUCAGAAGAUGCCCAUGUUGGAUCUGCUGAGAACUACAGAGAUGAAGCGGAACUGGAUCCCAGGGAUGAGCUGGAAUCCGACUCCUACGCACCCCGUGACCAAACUUUAUGGAGCCCUGAGCUGUUUGAUUGGGAAGAUUCAGAAUUGAAAACAAAUGAUUCCUUGAGCUCCGACAACUCAACUGUUGAUCAGCAUGAAGAAGAAACAUUGGAAAACAACUCGUCUGCACAGGAUCUGUCAAACACGGUCAAUUAUUCUGAAGACGAAGUAGAAGAAUUUGGGUGUCCAUCUGAGCAGCAGCCCCGCUCAUGGCCGUCCCAUAAGGAACCCCAACAGUCAACUUGCCAGUCCCAGGUGCCCCAGCAAUCAAAGUGUCCUCACCGUGCGCCACAGAAGCACAACUGUCUAUCAAAAGCUUCAAUGACGCCAGACAAACUCAAACACAUUUCUGUGCAGGAAUCUAAAAAGCUUGGUCUGCCAGGGCAGAAUGACCAAUCUCCAGAGAGGUAUCAACAAGAGCGCGGUUACCCUCCCUGGUGGCUUCAACAGCCCCAACUUCAUGAGUAUUUGUCCAAAUGGACCCAUCCUCUGGCUUGGCUGUACAACAUGGCACAGGAACUAAACCAGCAGGGAUACCCCCCGGUGUGGCCCCAAGAGACUCAUCGUGGCUGUAAGACAAAAGUUGCCCCUCAUCAAGGCUGUCAGUCCCAAACUUUGCCUUACCAAUAUUUUCAGAACCCUGUGAUCCCACACCAGAAUUUCCAUUCCCAAGCACCCCCACAAGAAGGUUUCUAUUCCCAGGAAUCCCCACACCAGGGUGUCCAUCCUCGCUCAUCCCCACAUCUGGGUCACUGGCCCCACCAACACAGAGGUGAACAGCAUCAUGGUCAAGCACAUCACCACCGCCAACCCAAAGCAGGGAAAUGGCAAGGCCCCCACAUCACCACCGCCAGCCCCAACCGGGGUCCCGGCAAAGCCCCCCACAUCACCACCGUCUGCCUCAAGUGGAUCCCCGGCAAGGCCCCCCACAUCACCCCCACCAACCUCAAGCGGAGUCCCAGCAAGCCCACACACACCACCAACCCCAAGUGGAGCCUUGGCAGAGCUUCAGGCCUAAUCUUUCACAAGGAAAGCAACACUUGCCGCAGCCCGUUCAGCACUGGGCAGAGCCACACUACGGCCAGCCACCCCACCAGCCAGAACUGAAGCCACAUGGCAUCCACCCAGGUUACCGCCACUGGCCUCGUGCAGAAAUGCAUCCUCUUUACCAACAGAACCAGGCACAAGAAAACCCACAAAACCAUUUUCAGCCCGACCAGCCUCAACCUGAGCCAAGUUAUAGCCACCAGCCACAACUGGAACGCUACAGCCAUCCACUUCCAUAUCAACCACAAACGGAACUUGAUCAGACCCACCAGCUGCCGCCACAUGGCCAUCCGUCAUACCAGCCAGUAGAGCCACAUCCCUUCAUGUCUCAAGUAGAACAGCAGUAUGGCCACCAAGCUGAACUUCAAAUGCCUCAAAGUCGUGGCAACUCGCCGGAGGGCCAAGAAGUGCCUACUCUCACCAAGAAGCCACGGUACUUGCCCAAAAGACCCCCUUUAAAAGCCAGAUGGCCAGUGUACAAGCCUUCAGCACACCACUAAGAUGUCGUUGAUCCCGCGAUGCCAGUAAAAACGCUGAUCUGUAGCCUCUUGUUUCUGUUUGAGAUGCUGUACUGACCUGUCCAAUAAAGAACUUUGUAAAGUUUGAACAAGUUUUGCUUAAAUUUAAACAAAGCCUGGGUCUGUUCAAUAAACUGCAAGAUUUUAGUAGAUACAAAUUAUUGUUUUGUGGAUUUGGAGAAGGGGUGUGACCGUGUCCUGCGGAGGGUGCUCUAGGCGUUCGGGAUCUGGGGAGCUUCACUGAAGGCUAUCCGGUCUUUGCAUGACCAGAACUGGAGCCUAGUUCACAUUGCUACCAGCAAGGCCAACUGGUUCCUG
ensembl:lncRNA